UGUUAAAAAAUUCAUCCAUUUCUACUAUUUAAAACCGUCAUGGCUAACAGAAUAACCAAACAAUGACACAUGGCAUGCCACAAGUACCUCAUGCUAAUAUACAUGGAUCAAUUUUUAACAAUAGAAAUGAAUGAAAUUUUUAACA
rfam:Gossypium hirsutum cultivar TM-1 chromosome 16, whole genome shotgun sequence